GGGGAUGUGGCUCAAGUGGUAGUGCGCGCGCCUAGCGUGCGUGAGGCGCUGGGUUCAGUUCUCAGCACCACA
rnacentral:tRNA from 1 species